rnacentral:rRNA from 1 species
UACGUAGGAUCCGAGCGUUAUCCGGAUUUAUUGGGUUUAAAGGGUGCGUAGGUGGCCUGUUAAGUCAGGGGUGAAAGACGGUAGCUUAACUAUCGCAGUGCCUUUGAUACUGAUAGGCUUGAAUGUACUUGAGGUAGGCGGAAUGUGACAAGUAGCGGUGAAAUGCAUAGAUAUGUCACAGAACACCAAUUGCGAAGGCAGCUUACUAAAGUAUGAUUGACGCUGAGGCACGAAAGCGCGGGGAUCAAACAGG